AUUUGCCUCAUUCAUGAUGAAAUACUAGACCUGAGAAGCAGCAGCCGAUCGUCUUACGCUGAGCCAACAAGGCAUGGAAGCCUGAGGCAAGGCUCUGAGAUGAUGAGGUUUUGGCAAAAGACAACAGCUUCCCACCUAGACUGUACCCUCCAGCAGGGGAAACCAUGCAGGACCUGUUUUAAAAACCCCAGUAUCUACAGUGCUGAGCGCAACACCUGCACCUGAAGAUGAACUGUGAACUGGGAAGCACAAUAUCCAACUAGUAAAGAAUCCUCAUCACAUCCUUUAUAAAUUCAGUACCAACCCUUUGACUCUGGAUACUGUAAGGAUCUACUAGAAUUACAUUUUUCAGCAAUGACCUCUGGCCACUUACGUCUAACAUAAUAAAUGCAAGGACUUUGCCA
rnacentral:lncRNA from 1 species